AUUGAACGCUGGCGGCAGGCCUAACACAUGCAAGUCGAACGAGUGGCGGACGGGUGAGUAAUGUCUGGGAAACUGCCCGAUGGAGGGGGAUAACUACUGGAAACGGUAGCUAAUACCGCAUACCAUCGGAUGUGCCCAGAUGGGAGUAGCUUGUAGGUGAGGUAACGGCUCACCUAUGCGACGAUCCCUAGAUGGUCUGAGAGGAUGACCAGCCCCACUGAAACUGAUGCACGGUCCAGACUCCUACGGGGGGCAGCAGUGGUUAAUAUUGCACAAUGGGCGCGAGCCUGAUGCAGCCAUGCCGCGUGUAUGAAGAAGGCCUUCGGGUUGAAAAGUACUUUCAGCGGGGAGGCGUUACCCGCAGAAGAAGCACCGGCUAACUCCGUGCCAGCAGCCGCGGUAAUUC
rnacentral:rRNA from 1 species